UACGGAGGGUGCAAGCGUUAUCCGGAUUUACUGGGCUUAAAGGGUGCGUAGGUGGACUUGUAAGUCAGUGGUGAAAUCUCCGAGCUUAACUCGGAAACUGCCAUUGAUACUAUAAGUCUUGAAUGUUCUGGAGGUGAGCGGAAUAUGUCAUGUAGCGGUGAAAUGCUUAGAGAUGAGAUGGAACACCAAUGGCGAAGGCAGCUCACUGCGGGAUUAUUGACACUGAGGCACGAAAGCGUGGGGAUCAAACAGG
rnacentral:rRNA from 1 species